rnacentral:lncRNA from 1 species
GGCUAGGGAAGCCUUGGUGCUUCCUGCCGCAGUCCUGGGCACUGAGCCCCAGCUGCUGUUGGCCUGGAGCCCCAUCUAUCCCGGAUUUGGCCCCACCCUCCAGGAGCAGGGAGCCAGCUCUGCAUCAGGAGAGGCGGGCAAGGCCUGGGGAGGACCAGCUCAGGCCCUGUCUACAGGGCACUAGUGGGGGACCCAAGCCUCUGAGAGUAGAGGCUGCUGGGGCUGCAGCUGGGCCUGGGGAGUUCCAGAUGGAGUUCCCGUCCUCACCCUGCUUAAGGGCUCCGCUGGCCACCUACAUGCCUCGGAGGAGAAGGGACAGAGGGCUGCCACAGCAGGGCUCUGGAGCUGUGGAUCAGGCCUGGGUGGGGAACUGCCAGGCAGAAGAGGCUCCUCCCCUAAAGCAGAAGGAGCAGGCCAGCAACUCCAGGCGGAGCAAAGGUAGGCAAAGAGUCUGGGUUAAGAGCCGGGCUCUGGCAUCCAGCUGCCACACUUCCCAUCUGAUCCACCACUCUGUUGUAGAAUUUAGGCUCGUCACUACGUCCCUUCAUGUCCCUCAAGAAAAGGGAGAUAACUAACUGUAGCUUCUACCUCAUAGUGUUGUUGGGAGGACUAAAGGAAUAAAUAAAUACAUGUGAAGUGCUUAGGACACACAUCUUAAAGCCUGAAAAUGGAAGCUGGUUUUAUUAUUGCUAUUAUUAUUAACCUCCAGAGUGAUAAUGUCAGCCCCAAGAGCAGUGAGAGUCUGGGCUUCUUUUGGACUGUGCCCCUGGUUGCUGAAAGUAGUGCUUGGACCCAAGGCGGAAGAAGCCAAGUCCUCCCUGGCCUCAUCCUCCCCUGGUGGACCGGGACUCUGGGCAGAUGGUGCAGUACAUGCUGUAGAAGUAUUUGCCAGUAUUCUCAUCGCUCCUCCUCCUCCUGCCUCCCUUGGCUGCUCUGAUGAAGGCUGGAAGAGAAACAACUAUUGCAUGUGUUCAGGGGUUUGCAGGGAAG